rnacentral:rRNA from 1 species
GACGAACGCUGGCGGCGUGCUUAACACAUGCAAGUCGAACGGUGAAGGGAUAAGCUUGCUGGUUCUGGAUUAGUGGCGGACGGGUGAGUAACACGUGGGUAACCUGCCUCUUUCUUUUGGAUAACCGCGUGAAAGUGUGGCUAAUACGGGAUAUUAUGCUGCUGCUGCUGGGUGGGUGUGGAAAAGCUAUUUUUUCGUCGGUGGUUGGGCUCGCGGCGGUUCAGUUUGUUGGUGGUGGGAUGGCCUACUAAGGCGGUGACGGGUAGCCGGCCAGGUGGGGGGCACGGUCAGACGGGGACUGAGGCACAGCCCAGACACCGACGGGAGGCAGCAGUAGGGAAUAUAGCAGAAGGGACGCAAGCCGGAUGCAGCGACGCCGCGUGAGGAAUGGAGGCGUUCGGGAUGUGAACCUCUUUGGCCAGAAAAGCAGGCCAGUCCAUUGUGGGUGGGUUGACGGUACCUGGACAAGAAGCGCCGGCUAACUACGUG